UCUCUCUCUCACACUCUCUCUCACUCUCUCUCCCUCUCACUCUCACUCUCUCACUCUCACUCGGUUGUGUCUGGAACAAAAACGAUAGGGGACGUACAUUUUGAGAGGCGCAGAGAAUAGGCGAUCACGCAGAGUAGGAACAAAAGCCGUCUGUUAUGAAAGGACCAAACAGUGAAGCUGCAGCGUUUGGGUUUCUGGCCACGUUCGCCGAUGCCGCGUGAGUGGAGGGGAGAAACAACCGAUUCCAAUCGCUCUUUCUCGUGGUCUAGGCUGGGGAGAAUACUGCGUGUGUUUCCAUUUAGUACAAUAACCUCAUUUAUCUCUCUUGCCAUUCAAGCACAAGUCAUAUUUUUGGGGCACAUUUUAGUCGGAUAAACUUCAUUGAUUAAUUUGAUGAGCAAUAUAAACUUUUGAAAUAUCUUUAACAAGAAUCAAAAAGGAUAUCUGGUACUAUUUUGGAUUCUAAAGAGGCCCUGUUGAAGAAGAAAAAGUGAUUGUACAUACUGUCAGAAAACAAGAUGGCGUCUCAUGUUACCUUGAGGUCUCAGAUACCAGGGACUGGGAGGAGGAGGGCCCAGGUCAAGCCUACAAGGAACAACCACCAAUUUACAGAUGGAGGAUGAGAAAAAGAAAGAGAGUGGGCGGAUGGAGUGAAGGAUGAAGGCUGGGUAGACAACUGAACAGAGACAGGCCCUAUGCGGCAGUUCAUUCGUUCAUCGCCAUGGGCUCUUGUCCUCCUCUCUCCUCCCCUGGUCUAUACUCCCAUCACAGGGUCAUUUGGAGUGAGUGAGGCCCAAAAACAGAGCUUGUGAGUGGGCUGGCAAUGCAGGAAGAAGUCCCUGCUGGUUACCAGCACCUCUGAAGCUAACGGCAAAAUAAAUCAAUAUGGAGAAGACAAUGUUAGCCCACAGCCUAGGGGCCUGAAGACCUCCAGAGGAGAGGCCCAUCUCAACCUUGCUCAGCCCCAGCCAAAGUUCCUGAGACUGGGCCUGGGUCCCUACCCGCACUGGGUGUGUGUGGUUCUGCUGCUGGAGGGGGCCUCCCAACAAACAACACAUGAUACACGCUCUCCUGAGUUAUCGUUUCUUUUUUUGAAAGAAUGCUUAAGGGGAUAUCCCUCUCUUUAUUUCUCUUUUCUUAAAAAUAAGAUUGACAUACUCCCCUACCUUCCCUGUGUUGCUGUGUGUAAAUGCUGGCAGAAGGGUUCACAUUUUGAUUCAGACUUCAAAUCCACUCACUGCUUAUUCCCUGGGACACUUUUACAUUUGACAAAGAGACAGUUUACACUGGUGUGCUUCCUCCAAAGCAGUAUACAAACCACAACAACCACUAAAAUUGACAUUUUUUAAAACAUAUUUUUAUUAGGCUCUUUAUUGUUCAAUUCCAAUGUCUUUUUUUAUUUGGCAUGAUCAAAGACCAUAGACAGACGACUAAAACCCAGGCCCAGUAAAACCCAUGUCAGAUCUCCAAUCAACACUGUUCCUUCAUUCUGACCAGCUAGAAAAAAUGGACGAAAAGGAUCCUGGACAACACAAGACCACGAAAAGGAUCCUGGACAACACAAGACCACGAAAAGGAUCCUGGACAACACAAGACCACGAAAAGGAGCAGUACAGAUGACUAGACACUCCCUGAAGAACACAGUACCAGCAGAGACACGCAUACAGUGAGCGCCAAAAGUAUUGGGACCGUGACACAUUUUUUUGUUGUCGUUUUGGCUCUGUACUCCAGCACUUUGGAUUUGAAAUGAUACAAUGACUAUGAGGUUAAAGUGCAGACUGUCAUCUUUAAUUUGAGGGUAUUUUCAUCCAUAUCGGAUGAAAAUUACAGCACUUUUUACGAACAUGUGAGCGUGAAAGAAGGAAGGCGCUGGAUUGGACCAACCGGAUCACAAGACCUUGUGGAGCUCUCCCAUUGGUUCACCUAAGAAAAGAGCGGGAAAAAACACUCCUUUGACUUCAAGCUUUCUAUGAAGAUUCAUGGGAUGUUGAGUAAAAUGGACAUCUAAAACUGGACAAAAUCCCAAUACAGAAAUUGCCUCUUCAAUAUUGCUAUUUAAUAAUGAUGUACACUCACCCCCGUUUAUCAUAGCUGACUGUUGCUUUCUGUUCUCUGAAACCAUUCUAUUUUUUUGUUGUUUCAAUGAUCACAUAUAAUUAGUUUAGUCUUUUGAACAGAUUUUUUUAUGAAAAAAAUCCGUGUGUAUGUAUAAUAUCUAAUUGAUGCUGAGUACGGUAAUAAUAGAACAGAGAAAUAUAUCAAUAAAACUGCUUUGUUUUCUGAAA